rnacentral:lncRNA from 1 species
AUUAUAAGAAAUUCAAGAAAUCACAAACGCAAAACGAUCUAAAUCAGGCGGCAAGCGGAAGCAGCAAAUAGCGAAAUCGUGAAUCCAGAAAUGAAAUCAGAUCGCAAAAUCUGACACGGAAACGCGAGCGUGACGUGAAAUCAGAUCGCAAAAUCCAGAAACGAAAUCGUGAAUCCCUAAAUCGCGAGCGUGACGUGAACGGAAACGAAACGCGGAAAGAAUCGCGGAAGAAACACGAAAAGCAGAUGCGGAAGAAAUCGCAAGAUCUGAAAUCGAUUGACG